rnacentral:rRNA from 1 species
AUUGAACGCUGGCGGCAUGCCUUACACAUGCAAGUCGAACGGCAGCACGGGUGCUUGCCCCUGGUGGCGUGUGGCGCACGGGUGAGUAAUACAUCGGAACAUGUCCUGUAGUGGGGGAUAGCCCGGCGAAAGCCGGAUUAAUACCGCAUACGAUCUACGGAAGAAAGAGGGGGACCUUCGGGCCUCGCGCUUUAGGGUUGGCCGAUGGCUGAUUAGCUAGUUGGUGGGGUAAAGGCCUACCAAGGCGACGAUCAGUAGCUGGUCUGAGAGGACGACCAGCCACACUGGGACUGAGACACGGCCCAGACUCCUACGGGAGGCAGCAGUGGGGAAUUUUGGACAAUGGGCGAAAGCCUGAUCCAGCAAUGCCGCGUGUGUGAAGAAGGCCUUCGGGUUGUAAAGCACUUUUGUCCGGAAAGAAAUCCUUGGCCCUAAUACGGGCGGGGGAUGACGGUACCGGAAGAAUAAGCACCGGCUAACUACGUG